UGGCACUACAGGCAUGAGCCACCGCGCCAGGCCUUUAUAGCGAUAUUCUUGAAUGCAGAUGAAGAGGAUGGAAUCCAGUGACAAGUGGAGGGCUGUCCUCAGAUAGGAGUCCAGGUAGUUUAUAUCUUGAAUAACUGGCGGAAUGUGAGUAUAUAGGAGCAUGGGUACAAGUAGGGUAGCAGAUAUGAUUGAGAGUAUGUAGUUUUCUUCUUAUCAUUUUUUUUUUUUUUAAGGGAAAUAGGAACCAAAGCCACUGACCAAGAAUGAGGGUGGAGGAGGAGAUAUUGAAAGUUUGUCAAAGGAGAAGAUAUUAAAUGCUCGCCUAAAGAAAUGAAAGAAGGAGAUUCUUGAAAUGUAGUGGCCUUUCCUUGGCAGUGCCGUGGGCCCAUGUGAGAGAUUUCUGGUCAUGAAUUUACAGUGAGAUCUGUCAGCGUAGCUGUGUUUUGCUUUUUUCCCCAACCAUAGCACAGGUGCAGGCAUAGAGUAAACAGAGAGCUGGAGUAAUCAGAAUUGAGGAUUUUUUUCAGACAAGUUAGAGGAAGAAAGUGUGUGUUGGGAGGGAGUUGUAGGUGUCUACAAGGAAGUGUUACAACAAUGGACCAUGACUUCUAAGCCCCGUAAAGACGGAAGAAAGGACCUGAGGGGAGUGAAGAACAGUGAGUAACGAUGAAGGCACUGGAUUGUAGAACCAGGUGGAGUCCACGAAUUUUCGGAAUUGGAGUGCUAGAGGUAGUGAGCCAGAAAAACAAGAGAAGCACAAGUCUGCAACGUAUAAUAGCACGCCAACUCUGCUUCAUGCAAAGAUGUUUAAAUCCAGCAGUACAGAAUGGCUUGGUAAAAACUCAAGGCAUGUUAAAAUAUCAUUCACAUGAACUCAAGUGGUAAUAGUCAAAGUUGUGAAUAAAAAAAUCCUUUCACACAUUUUAUAAAAACAGGUAACAACAAUUGAAUGUAUGUUAUCAUUGCUCUGGGGCAAGAAAAGAGCAGUCGUCUGUUUAUGACUAAAAUUGUCAGUGCUCAAAAUGUUCCAAGAGUCAGUAUUUAAUUAAUAAGUUGCCACACUCAUUUCACAGAUGCCACAUAUGAGAGAAUUAAGUAUAGAAUGAAGAAUUAAUGAACCCCUAUUUAGGAAAACAUGGGAAUUAAUACACACACCCACACCCAACCAACCACACACACGUACACACCCUGGUAAUCAAAACUAUAAACUGAAGAAAUUAAGAAGAUUGAAGAGCAGUAACUAAAAAUAUGCUUGUGUCAGAGUAUCCAAAGAACACAGCUUACAUAGAGCACAGGACUUUCCUGUGGUUUAAAUCUUGAGUACAAAAAAAUGUUUGACACCCAGUAAGUAUAAAACAAAUAUUUGUUUGAUUGAAUUAAAUGAAUGAAUAAAUAAAUGAAUGAUGAUGAUUUGUCAUCUCUCUAUCAUGACAUUUGUGUAUAACAAAAUCUUUUCCAUUUUGUCCCAUGCAGGUUCAAUUUCUGGUUGGUAAUUGGCAAUGAUGGAAUGACUGUCCGGAGUAAAGAAGCCUCUCUUUGUUCUUGUGCCAUGAUUUCCCAGCCAGGCAGUGCUUGCAGUUCACUGGACUGAUCAUUUUCUUUCACACUCUGUGCCUUUGCAAAUAUUAUUCUUUUGUCUGAAAAUUGCCUGCUCCCAACCCUUCAUUAUCAUCCCCACUAACUCUCACCCACCCUCCCCAGCUUGUUGACUUGGAAACUCCUUCUUUUUUUACCAGCUGCAAUUCAAGCAACACCUCCUCUGGGGAGCCUUUUCAACUCUGCCUUAGUCUUUUUUGGCCCUAGUUUUUGCAUCUCUCCAGAUUCACUGGGCUUUCUCUGCUUUCUGGGUCACUUGUUCAGUGAAGAACCCCUACCCCAUCAUCACCACAACUCUUAACCCUACCACCCUUAGCCCUUUCCAGAUGAGGGCUGUGCUCUAGCAUGGCUCCUUCAUACUCACCAUGAUGGGACUGCAAAGACCCUGGUGUCUGGGGCCUGAACCCACUGGGCCCCUGAAGUUCAGCUUCCUGCAGCAUUCCCAGAAUCUGAGGAAGCACCGUGAACCGAGGUCUGGGCUCUGACUUCCCUGAUCCUGGAGCCAGGUCAUCCAAUCUGUAAAUGUAAAGGAUGGAAUUAUUUUUACCAAUGAGGAACAGCUGGAGGCCUCAGAUAUGAAUAUUCAGGAUUGGUGAAAGAACUCAACAAUUUGACUGAGUGUCAUAAUUGUGGCACAGGGAGGAAGGAAGGACAGCAUACCAAGCCCUUAAUCACACGCUACCCAGAUACCAGCAUAAGGCCCGACAUUCUAGAACAGGGGCCAGCUCAUGGCCUACUUUUCUUUGGCCGGUAAACAUCCAGAUGGCCGGUUUCUGCCUUAACUGAUGACAUUCCGCCACAAAAGAAGUGAAAAUGGCCUAUUCCUGCCUUAACUGAUGACAUUAUCUUGUGAAAUUCCUUCUCCUGGCUCAUCCUGGCUCAAAAGCUCCCCUACUGAGCACCUUGUGACCCCCCAUUCCUGCCCCCCCAGAGAACAACCCCCCUUUUUCCUUUACCUACCCAAAUCCUAUAAAACAGCCCCACCCCUAUCUCCCUUCGCUGACUCUCUUUUCGGACUCAGCCCGCCUGCACCCAGGUGAUUAAAAGCUUUAUUGCUCACACAAAGCCUGUUGGGUGGUCUCUUCACACGGACGCACAUAAAACUUACUAUCAAAUUCUUUAGAAAAAGAGCUUGUGUUCUCAUUGUUCAGUUCCCACCUACGAGUGAGAACAUAUGGUGUUUGGUUUUUUGCCCUUGCGAUAGUUUGCUGAGAAUGAUGGUUUCCAGCUUCAUCCAUGUCCCUACAAAGGACAUGAACCCAUCAUUUUUUAUGGCUGCAUAGUAUUCCAUAGUGUAUAUGUGACACAGGAAGGGG
rnacentral:lncRNA from 1 species